GACGAACGCUGGCGGCGUGCUUAACACAUGCAAGUCGAACGGAAAGGCCUGCUUUCCCUUGUGGAUUGCGGGUACUCGCGUGGCGAACGGGUGAGUAACACGUGAGUGAUCUGCCCCCAACUUGGGUAUAAGCCUGGGAAACUGGGUCUAAUUCCCGGUAGGACUGCAGGGUGGUGCCUGUUGUUGGAAACGAUUUUCUAGUGGGUGGGGAUGAGCGCGCGGCCUAUCAGCUUGUUGGUGGGGUAAUGGCCUACCAAGGCGGCGACGGGUAGCCGGCCUGAGAGGGUGGACGGCCACAUUGGGACUGAGAUACGGCCCAGACUCCUACGGGAGGCAGCAGUGGGGAAUAUUGCACAAUGGGCGGAAGCCUGAUGCAGCGACGCCGCGUGGGGGAUGACGGCCUUCGGGUUGUAAACUCCUUUCGACCGCGAGGAAGCCACCUGGUUGGAAGGGUGGUGACGGUAGUGGUAGAAGAAGCACCGGCUAACUACGUG
rnacentral:rRNA from 1 species